CUCAUGUUCUCUUUGCCAUGUGAUGACUAAUAUCUAGUUCCAGAUAAGAUCACACUCCUGCAACCAAUGCAUGGUCGAGGCGAACACUAAUGAACCGAACAGACUGCCCACGGAACACUAACCUUACUCCACUUACAAAACCCAGGUAGGUCCAACUCCCCACUUAUAUCCUGCAGCCAAGCAUAGGAGACUAAUAGAUCGGGCGUACGUACAACGAAUAAAACUACAAAGAGAUAGAUACCAAACCAAACGAUUUAACAGAUUUGAGGCCACUACCAAGCUUGCAGGCAUGUCCCGGGUGAAAAGGAUCUGCAAUAUGUUGGGCAGAAACAAUAAACCUUAAUCAAAGCUAUGAAGAGAGGCAACUAACUAAAAUAAAUAAACAGAUGGACUCUAAAUAAGAGGGAAAGAAAUUGAAAUAGAGAGAACGGUGUUUUCUCAGUUGUUGCGUGGCGUUAAUUUGAAGCUCCAGAUCAUCUUCAGAGUGCAGAUCAAUCUGAAUGUCCAAAUAU